UCAUAAUCACAGACAACCACGGCGAGCGCCGUCUGCUCCAACCGUCUCGGGUUACUUUCUAGGAAAACUACAAAGACAGCGCCAAAGAUGGAGGACAGUGGCACGAGUGCAGGUGGAAGCUGAUGGUCUGAUGGUGUUUUCAGCCUCCACCUAGGUGCGCUAGCCACCUCCACUCAUGUGAUGCAUUGAGGGUACGUGGAGUGAGGUACGACCAAGCACUGCAUCAUGUGCGUCGCACUUCUGCAAGCGUCAGAUAAGCGGCGAACACCAAACCCCGCCCACGGUGACGCCUGCAGACCCUCAGCUUACAAUCAGCUUCACGAGAAACUCAUUAAGUUCAACAGAAGAAGAAGAAGGAACGAACACACACACACACACACACACACACACACACACACACUAAUAACAUCUAAGGAAAAAAACAAACAAAACCAAAACCAAAACGGUAUCCCGCAAAAAAUUAUUUCAAAUAAAACAGGAACAUUUUUCAGUUUUCCUCAUAAAUUUGUUUUCCUUGUGUAAAUUUUCCACAUUUUCCCGAGGUGUCGCAUCAGCCUGAUUCCGGCUCUUCCCGGUGCAGCAGCCGACAGAUGCUUCCAGUUUCUAAUUUUAAAUCAAACCGUUUCUAUUUUUAAAUAUGUGCUGUGCGUCUGGCCUGCAGACGGAUGUUUUCUGGAUUUUAAAUGCUGCUUUUAUUUUGCAGAUGCAUACUCUGGGUGCUUUAAUCUCACAGGUGACAUCCACUCUCUCUAAGGACCAGCAGGGGGUGACUCCUCUGAGGUCUGAUUGGAUCUAAGUCACCUGACCUCUGAGCUCAUCAAACACUUUCUGAUGAGUUUGUAGGUUAGUUUUAUGAGUGAAUAAAAGUGAAGUUUAUUUUGGUCCCAUUAGAAUGAGGGAGGACGAUAACGAGUCCUGACUGCUGAGUCUGUUUUCCAUAUGAAAAUCAACCAGAUCUAAGAAACGUUCCCAGACUUCCUGUAACUCUGAAAGCAUUCACAGUACAAAGGUUAAUUUUUCAUGGCUUCAUUAAAUUAAAUUAAAAAGAAAAUCAGCUGAUUCUGAAGUUUCCUUUGAUUUAGUUGAUUUAAUAUGAAAUGAACUGUUUUCAGUCUAUUUUACAAAAUAAAAGCUUCUGUAAUUAAGUGAAAAUGACGAAGAAAUCUUGGCUAACAAUGAGCACAGAGGUUCAUAGAGAGCUGCAUGCUUUACUUUCAUUAUUCAGGACUAACCUGAACUUCUGCCAUUUGAACUGGUUCCCAUAACACAGGAGCUGGUUUUACAACUUCCUCACAAAGUUUCCUCACCGUGCUGCCACUGAGCAACACUUCUGGGCUGGCGUUAAACUCUCAGAUUUCAGUUUUCACAACCAUCAAACUAGCUCACGACCUUCAGAUCCCACUGAGAGCGACAGCUUUUGAUGGCCUGUUAUUCUGUUUAUCACAUGUUUGUGACUGAAUAUCAGCUCUGUGUGCGUCUUUAUCCUGAUACUGUUGUUGUAUUUGUGUAACUGCUGCUGCCCUCUUGGACACGUCUCCUUUGAAACAGACUUUUACCUGAUAAAUAAAGGAUCACUAUAAAUGUGAUGUGACUCGAGCCAGCAGCCUCCAACCAUCAGACCAGUUACAUGAAAUGAAGUUCUCAUCAGCUCAACUAAAACUGCUUUCAGCAGGAAAGGAAAGACUUCGAGGAAUUAAUCUGAAUUUCCUGAUUUCCAGCAGAAAAAUUACAGAUAAGAAACAAAUCAAACAAAACGAAAAUCUUUAAAGUUAUGAUUGAGGAGCCUUAUUUUUACCUGGCUAACACCAACUUCACCCUGAUAUACGAUUCAAAGUCCUCAAACCACUUAUAUCGGAAACAUUUUAAAAUCUGGCUCAUAAAGAAACCAGAAACCCGAGCAUCACGGUGUAAAUGUACUGGCUUCCUGCCUCUGGGCUGUAUGCAGACCUCCCCUUCACACCAUCACAAGGAGUGGAGAGGAACUUUCUCUCACUGGAUCAAUAAAUCAAUCGGCUUUAACGCUGAUCCAUGUGGAAAUAAGGAUGCAGUUUCUUUACGGUGGCAGCUAACAUGUCCUCACUGGUCUAACUUUGUGUUUUUGGUCCAUAAACAGUGAAAACUUCACCUGUGCUGACUCUGACGUCUAAUCUUAAUUAAAUAAACCCAGAGACUCACAUUUACCGUCACAAACAACUCAGAAACACAAACAAACGUGAAAGAAGUAGCAAACCUUUGAUUCCUUUUGAUUCUGUCCGUUUGUCUGCAUAAUUAUCAUAUUCAGUCAAUAACUCUUAACACAGUUGGUCUCUUUUUAUUCGACCGGCUUCUCAAAGAGUUUCUAAUAACCUUAAUCCUAAAACGAUGUGAACCAGAGCACAUCUUUAACUUUCUGCUCGUAACCCUGCAAGCACCUUCAACAAUAUUCUUCUUUAUUAGAUUCAGGACGUCUAAAACUGCAGAACAGAAGGAUGCAUUUGUUUUUUAGUUUUAUAAUAAAGAUAUAAACCCCAAAUUUGUAAAUGCUGUAGGUAAGUGUGAAGGUAAAUCUGACUUAGAGGGUUGGUACUGAGUUUGAGUCCAGCUGCAGGCCUGCGAGCAGCAACGUGAACGUCACAGAUCUGAAUGUAUCUGCGUCAGAGCUUUUUCUGCCGUCAAACCGCAACUCUGUAAAACUGUAACUGUGGCAGUUUGAAAGGUUGGGAUGGCCGCGCUUUAGCUUGUCAUUUAGAAACAUGCCGCGGCCGUGCUGGAGACACGAGCACACAGGUGUGAUGAUUUCAUCACCGGUUCAGUGGCGAUGAGAUGCUGCAACAGCUGAAAGAGACCAAACUUUCUCCUCCUCCCACACCUGCACUGACACAGAGGUGUUUUCUUUAUGGCUUCAGGAGAGUCCAGCCCACCUCAGAAACACCAACAGCCACUGAGCCAAGCUUCAGGCUGAAGCUUUACAGGUACGCUAGCAGAGAAACAUCUCAGCCUCCUCUGGCUGAGAUGUUUACACACACUUUACACACUGCUGCAGGAGCAUCGACCUCCCCGCUGACGGCACACAGACCAAUCAGAAUGAAUAAAAUACUCAGCUGCACUAACCUCACCUGCUCUGCUCGAACCCGCAGACGUGCCUCUAACAGAGACAACAACCUGGGAAGCUUCUGCAGCCGGCAGCCUCACACGCCUGAACACCACAGCAGUGACUUUAUAAAGGUUUGUAUUUUCUACGACGACUCGACGCGAGACUCAGGAAACUGUUUAUUCCUCAUCUAAACUUAUGAAGAGUCACUUCAAUGAAAAUGAGCGUCCCGUGGAGGCACCAUAGAGGUCGGGUGUGAUCCUGACAGGAUCGCAGGUGUAAGGAUGGAGGAGAUCUGACCCCCGGCGCUCCCUCAGAGACCAGAGACAGGCUGGCAGAUUUGGUCAUUUGGGAGGAGCUCGUAGCACAGACGCUGCUCCUCCAGCUGAGGAGGUGCAGCACCUGACUAGAAUGCGUCCCACAGAGAGAGGUGGGGAGUCUCUGCUUAGACCCAGGUAAGCAUCAGAAAACAGAGAUCAUAAAUAAUAACCUCACAGGAAUAGGCUCAGUCUAAACCUGAGAGCAGAUUUUUUAUUUAUUAACGCGUUUUAUAUUCUAUAAACUCCUCACGGCUCUGCAGGCUCGAGCUACAAAGGCCCAUGUGUGCAGAAACAUAAUAAACAUAAUGGAGGGAUAUCCUGUGAAACCUCCCGAAUCAUUAAAUAUUCAGGAGGUGAUUUUUGGUCUGAAGCUUAUCUCCAUAAACAGAGAACCUGUGGGAGGCGUCAGGGAGCAGACGGCUGAUCAGCUAUUAUCUAAAGAUUACCAGAUGGACAUUUAAUCAUCAUUAGCAGGAGUCCUGAACAUCAGAGGAGCACGGCUGUCAAUACAGACCACCCCUUUUUAUUCAAAUAAACACACAGGUGUGUGAAAAACAGACGAUUCAGGGCCUGAAAUGUCUGAAGAAAAAUCCUCUCCAUCAUCAUCUGCUGUCACUACACAAACAUUAGAAACUGUUUUAUGGAGCUAAAGAGCGAAAAUCUCUUUCCCUGCUGUGCAGUGACUCCAGCCUGAGGAACGUGCGUGAGGAACACCAGCGUAAACGUUGGACUUCAACGUGAACUUUUUAGACUCAGGCAGGUCACUCUGACCUCAUGGCCGCAUGGCGUUGGCCUUCGACACGCCACAUCACAUCAUCUUUGGAUGACAGCUCAUAACAGAUAAACUGACUAAAGUUAGUGUUUGAUCACAGGAAUGAAGGUGUUUGGGCUCUAACAUGAGAUGAUCUUUUAAAAAUUACACAUUAAUGUUAUUUUAUUACAGUGAGGAAAGUGAACAACCCUCCAUCAGAACAAGGCAGCUACAUGAUCAUCAGUCUGGAGACAAACGGCUGAGUAAAAUAAACAGCACACAGUGGAAACGGGCAGUAAAUAUCAGCCUGAUCUUUAUUCCACCAAAAACUGUCUCAGUAACACCAGAAAGAACUUAAGUGGUUCGUUUUCAGUCAUUUAAAAUCAUUAAAAAUACUUAAAGUCUGCUUUCUGUUAGAUUUCACCUAAAAAUACUUAAAAACAAGGAUCUGGGCUUAUUGUGUGCCAGAAUCACAGAAAUUCAACUUAAUCCAGCUACGAGAACUGCCCGACGUGAGGCCCUUCUCUUACUUUACCCAAACAUUAUUAAUUAUGAAUUUAUGAGCUACAUCCAGCUCAGUGGUACCAGUAUAACCAUUACAUAAGUGAAGACUUUCACCUGGAUUAUCAGACACUUUAUGGCACUCACAGGAUCAUAAACCUGGGAGUAGGUGAUGAAGUAAGUGUCAUUUCCAGGGAAAAAAAGCUUUAAAAACUUUAUUUGAGGUUAAAUCUGCUAACUUAAAACUGUUUUUAUAAAGUUUGCUGUUUUCAUGACUUUGAAUUUAUAGUUAAUCUGUAUAAUCAUAAAAAUAACUGCUAGAAUAAUUUAUAUUAUCAUUUUUAUCACUAAUAAAUAUUUUCUCCCCAGUACUCUGACCAGAGCUGAGACUGAAAAACCUGAAAUCAUCGUCACAAGUUUACCCAGAAUCCCUCAGAAACUCACCGGAACGUUUGGUUACCUGGUAAAUUAUUUAAAUAUUAAUGAAAUCAGGCUGAGAUGUUCCACUUUGACCACAUUCAGUGAAUCUGUGACCCACCUGAGUUCGUACCACCCUUCCUGGGAUUAAAGCUGAUCACAGAUAAACUGAUUAAAGUUACUCUAAAGCAGAAACAAUAACGACCUGUUACAGCCUCUAACAUGAGAGGACCGGAUGAGUUUCUCCUCAUAGUUCAUGCAUGCUGUGCGCAAUUAACAAUAUAUUAUGUCAUGUCACACACAGCUCAUGUGACCAGCAGAGAAAACGAAAGCUG